UACGUAGGGGGCAAGCGUUGUCCGGAUUUAUUGGGCGUAAAGAGCGUGUAGGCGGUUUGGUAGGUCCGCUGUGAAAACUCGAGGCUCAACCUCGAGACGCCGGUGGAAACCAUCAGACUAGAGUCCGGAAGAGGAGAGUGGAAUUCCUGGUGUAGCGGUGAAAUGCGUAGAUAUCGGGAGGAACACCAGUGGCGAAGGCGACUUCCUGGCCUGUUCUUGACGCUGAGGCGCGAAAGCUAGGGUAGCAAACGGG
rnacentral:rRNA from 1 species